rnacentral:rRNA from 1 species
CCUACGGGGAGCAGCAGUCGAGAAUCAUUCACAAUGGGGGAAACCCUGAUGGUGCGACGCCGCGUGGGGGAAUGAAGGUCUUCGGAUUGUAAACCCCUGUCAUGUGGGAGCAAAUUAAAAAGAUAGUACCACAAGAGGAAGAGACGGCUAACUCUGUGCCAGCAGCCGCGGUAAUACAGAGGUCUCAAGCGUUGUUCGGAAUCACUGGGCGUAAAGCGUGCGUAGGCUGCUUCGUAAGUCGUGUGUGAAAGGCGCGGGCUCAACCCGCGGACGGCACAUGAUACUGCGAGACUAGAGUAAUGGAGGGGGAACCGGAAUUCUCGGUGUAGCAGUGAAAUGCGGAGAUAUCGAGAGGAACACUCGUGGCGAAGGCGGGUUCCUGGACAUUAACUGACGCUGAGGCACGAAGGCCAGGGGAGCGAAAGGGAUUAGAUACCCCUGUAGUC